GAUGAACGCUGGCGGCGUGCCUAAUACAUGCAAGUCGAGCGAAGCGGGGAAGGGUGAGUAACACGUGGAGAACUUCCUCUAUGACUGGGAUAACUUCGGGAAACCGGAGCUCAAACCGAUUUUUAUAGCUGGAUCCUCGCUGCAUUAGCUAGUUGGUAAGGUAACGGCUUACCAAGGCAACGAUGCAUAGCCGACCUGAGAGGGUGAUCGGCCACACUGGAACGGAGACACGGUCCAGACUCCUACGGGAGGCAGCAGUAGGGAAUCGUCCGCAAUGGGCGAAAGCCUGACGGAGCAACGCCGCGUGAGUGAUGAAGGUCUUCGGAUCGUAAAACUCUGUUAUUAGGGAAGCGGUACCUAAUCAGAAAGCCACGGCUAACUACGUGCCAGCCGCCGCGGUAAUUC
rnacentral:rRNA from 1 species